rnacentral:rRNA from 1 species
UACGUAGGGGCAAGCGUUGUCCGGAAUCAUUGGCGUAAAGCGCGCGUAGGCGGCCCGGUAAGUCCGCUCUGAAAGUCCAGGGCUCAACCCUGGAAAGCGGGUGGAUACUGCCGGGCUAGAAUCCGGGAAGAGGCGAGUGGAAUUCCGUGGUGUAGCGGUGGAAUGCGCAGAGUAUCAGGAGGAACACCAAUAGCGAAGGCAGCUCGCUGGGACGGUAUUGACGCUAAGGCGCGAAAGCGUGGGAGCAA